AUGUGUGCUUGGAAUCCGGUUGGAAGAAGCCGGGGGCUGGCACUGUUUUGGAGGAGGGGAGUGGAUGUUUCUUUGCGAUCGUAUGGCAGGAGGCACCUGGAUGUGGAUGUGAAGGAGGAGGGUGGAAGGAUAUGGAGACUUACUGGAGUCUAUGGUGAAUCUGAAGCGGACAGGAAGAAAGAGACGUGGAGAACGUUGAAGUUACUAGGGCAACAACACCAACCAGGGAGACCGUGGCUUUGUAUAGGUGACUUUAACGAGAUUUUGUCAUGUGAUAAGAAGGAAGGAGGAGUGGAUCGUGGCCAAAUUUGUAUGGACAACUUUAGGGAGGCUCUUGAUGCAUGCGAGCUAGAUGAUAUUGGGUACACGGGGGACAAGUUUACAUGGAGGAACCAUAGCAAAAGGGAGAGAUUGGAUAGAGCUACGGCGAAUGUACAUUGGUGUGAGGCGUUUCCUGAAUUCUCUGUCGUCAAUGGUUACCCAAGACACUCUGACCACCGGCCGGUGAUCAACCAAACGUCGGGUGGGGGGGAGUAA
rnacentral:rRNA from 1 species